AUGAACGCUGGCGGCGUGCUUAACACAUGCAAGUCGAGCGAAGCACUUGAGUUUGAUUCUUCGGAUGAAGACUUUUGUGACUGAGCGGCGGACGGGUGAGUAACGCGUGGGUAACCUGCCUCAUACAGGGGGAUAACAGUUAGAAAUGACUGCUAAUACCGCAUAAGACCACGGUACCGCAUGGUACAGUGGUAAAAACUCCGGUGGUAUGAGAUGGACCCGCGUCUGAUUAGGUAGUUGGUGGGGUAACGGCCUACCAAGCCGACGAUCAGUAGCCGACCUGAGAGGGUGACCGGCCACAUUGGGACUGAGACACGGCCCAGACUCCUACGGGAGGCAGCAGUGGGGAAUAUUGCACAAUGGAGGAAACUCUGAUGCAGCGACGCCGCGUGAAGGAUGAAGUAUUUCGGUAUGUAAACUUCUAUCAGCAGGGAAGAAAAUGACGGUACCUGACUAAGAAGCCCCGGCUAACUACGUGCCAGCAGCCGCGGUAAUACGUAGGGGGCAAGCGUUAUCCGGAUUUACUGGGUGUAAAGGGAGCGUAGACGGCACGGCAAGCCAGAUGUGAAAGCCCGGGGCUCAACCCCGGGACUGCAUUUGGAACUGCUGAGCUAGAGUGUCGGAGAGGCAAGUGGAAUUCCUAGUGUAGCGGUGAAAUGCGUAGAUAUUAGGAGGAACACCAGUGGCGAAGGCGGCUUACUGGACGGUAACUGACGUUGAGGCUCGAAAGCGUGGGGAGCAAACAGGAUUAGAUACCCUGGUAGUCCACGCGGUAAACGAUGGAUGCUCGCUGUUUGCGUCUGACGUAAGCGGCCAAGCGAAAGCGUUAAGCAUCCCACCUGGGGAGUACGCCGGCAACGGUGAAACUCAAAGGAAUUGACGGGGGCCCGCACAAGCAGUGGAGUAUGUGGUUUAAUUCGAAGCAACGCGAAGAACCUUACCAGGGCUUGACAUAUACAGGAAUAUAUUAGAGAUAGUAUAGCUCUUCGGAGCCUGUAUACAGGUGGUGCAUGGUUGUCGUCAGCUCGUGUCGUGAGAUGUUGGGUUAAGUCCCGCAACGAGCGCAACCCCUAUCUUCAGUAGCCAGCAGGUUAAGCUGGGCACUCUGGAGAGACUGCCAGGGAUAACCUGGAGGAAGGUGGGGAUGACGUCAAAUCAUCAUGCCCCUUAUGACCAGGGCUACACACGUGCUACAAUGGCGUAAACAAAGAGAAGCGAACUCGCGAGGGUAAGCAAAUCUCAAAAAUAACGUCUCAGUUCGGAUUGUAGUCUGCAACUCGACUACAUGAAGCUGGAAUCGCUAGUAAUCGCAGAUCAGAAUGCUGCGGUGAAUACGUUCCCGGGUCUUGUACACACCGCCCGUCACACCAUGGGAGUCAGUAACGCCCGAAGUCAGUGACCCAACCGUAAGGAGGGAGCUGCCGAAGGUGGGACCGAUAACUGGGGUG
rnacentral:rRNA from 1 species